AGCGAACGCUGGCGGCAGGCCUAACACAUGCAAGUCGAACGAACUCCUCGGAGUUAGUGGCGGACGGGUGAGUAACACGUGGGAACGUGCCUUUUGGUUCGGAAUAACUCAGGGAAACUUGUGCUAAUACCGAAUGUGCCCUUCGGGGGAAAGAUUUAUCGCCAUUAGAGCGGCCCGCGUCUGAUUAGCUAGUUGGUGGGGUAACGGCUCACCAAGGCGACGAUCAGUAGCUGGUCUGAGAGGAUGACCAGCCACACUGGGACUGAGACACGGCCCAGACUCCUACGGGAGGCAGCAGUGGGGAAUCUUGCGCAAUGGGCGAAAGCCUGACGCAGCCAUGCCGCGUGAAUGAUGAAGGUCUUAGGAUUGUAAAAUUCUUUCACCGGGGACGAUAAUGACGGUACCCGGAGAAGAAGCCCCGGCUAACUUCGUG
rnacentral:rRNA from 1 species